rnacentral:lncRNA from 1 species
CGUCUUGCGAUGAUUGAAGAUCAUUGGUGGUUGGUAGAACCACAGGUCCUCUCCAGAAUGCAUUGAAAUCUGGAAUUUGUAGCAUGAUUUCUAUUUCUUUUAGUUUUCUCAAAAUGAAAUUUAGAGGUAAUCCCACAUUAAAAAAUUGAUGGUAUCCGUGAAGAACCUUUGCGAGAGCACGUAGCUUCCUCGCGUGGUCAUCGGAAUACCCUGUCUUCUCUUUUAACCAUG